UGGGAGCUUAAGAAAAUUUUUAUAAUAACAUAUUUAAAUAGAUAAUAAAACUAAUUUUACUAUAAAACUAAAAUAAAAAUAUCUUUGGUUGGGGCAACCACGAAGAAAAAAAAACCUUCGUUCAAAAAAAGAAAUUAACAAAUUUAAAAAAUUAUCUAAAAUAUUUAAAGAUCCAGAAAAUUCUGAUCAAAGAAAAAAGUUACCGCAGGGAUAACAGCGUUAUUCUCUUUAAGAGCUCGUAUUGACAAGAGAGUUUGCGACCUCGAUGUUGGAUCGGGGCACCCAAGAGGUGUAGCAGCCUCUAAAGGUAGGUCUGUUCGACCUUUAAAGCCCUACGUGAUCUGAGUUCAGACCGACGUAAGU
rnacentral:rRNA from 1 species